CCACCACACUCCCAUUGUGUCAGUCAAUCCUGUAGGGUUAAAGAAAGCUGGACAACAGUAUGUAUUUGUCAUGUCCCUUCUGUGCUGUUCUGAGGCAAGAGCAGUGAUGCUCAUGAAGGGAUAAUUAAACACCUGAUAGUUUCAAUACCACAUCCCAGUGUCCUUUAUCAGAGAAAUCAGUGUAUUUUUGACAGAAGAAAAUGAAGACACGAGGAGAUGGAAUAGCUUGCUCUGAAUUAUCCAGGAGAACUUUAAAUAAAGCCCAGAUCUUGUGUGUUCUUGGCAUUGAGCAGACAUUUAAAACAAAGUAAACAAGAAGAUGCUGUGUCCUGCAAGUUUCAAUGAGUUGCUCACGUAACAUUCUCAGUCUGUCUUUAUCCUAGUGUUGGAUAAUAAAUCUUGAAUAAAUAAA